AUUGAACGCUGGCGGCAGGCCUAACACAUGCAAGUCGAGCGAGCGGCGGACGGGCGUGUAAUGUCUGGGAAAUUGCUUGCUGGAGGGGGAUAACUACUGGAAACGGUAGCUAAUACCGCAUACCAUCAGAUGUACACAGAUGGGCUUAGCUAGUGGGUGGGGUAAUGGCUCACCUGGGCGACGAUCCCUAGCUGGUCUGAGAUGAUGACCAGCAACACUGGAACUGAGAAACGGUCCAGACUCCUAGGGGAGGCAGCAGUGGGGAAUAUUGCACAAUGGGCGAAAGCCUGAUGCAGCCAUGCCGAGUGUGUGAAGAAGGCCUUCGGGUUGUAAAGCCCUUUCAGCGAGGAGGCGUUACUCGCAGAAGAAGCACCGGCUAACUCCGUGCCAGCAGCCGCGGUAAUAC
rnacentral:rRNA from 1 species